UGCACAGGCUGUUGGUGUGGAAAAGAGAUUCGAAGGCUACACAUGUGUAUUUUGAUGACAUUGUCAACCUUAUCAAGGAGGAAUCAAUACACAGCAAUCUCAUAGAUGCAUAUGCUGAACUGUUGCAUGAACAACAAGAGGUGGUCAACCCAACUUCGGAUGAAGCCUCAUUGAUCUUCACGAGCAUGUGUUUGAAAGUGAUACGAGAGUACCAUCCUCGCAAAAGGAGUAAACACAUUGAUGCACAUGUCAAAAACUACCAAGGAGAGAGAUACCUACUAUUC